rnacentral:rRNA from 1 species
GACGAACGCUGGCGGCGUGCUUAACACAUGCAAGUCGAACGGAAAGGCCCUGCUUUUGUGGGGUGCUCGAGUGGCGAACGGGUGAGUAACACGUGAGUAACCUGCCCUUGACUUUGGGAUAACUUCAGGAAACUGGGGCUAAUACCGGAUAGGAGCUCCUGCUGCAUGGUGGGGGUUGGAAAGUUUCGGCGGUUGGGGAUGGACUCGCGGCUUAUCAGCUUGUUGGUGGGGUAGUGGCUUACCAAGGCUUUGACGGGUAGCCGGCCUGAGAGGGUGACCGGCCACAUUGGGACUGAGAUACGGCCCAGACUCCUACGGGAGGCAGCAGUGGGGAAUAUUGCACAAUGGGCGGAAGCCUGAUGCAGCAACGCCGCGGGCGGGAUGACGGCCUUCGGGUUGUAAACCGCUUUCGCCUGUGACGAAGCGUGAGCGACGGUAAUGGGUAAAGAAGCACCGGCUAACUACGUG